rnacentral:rRNA from 1 species
UACGUAGGGUGCGAGCGUUAAUCGGAAUUACUGGGCGUAAAGCGUGCGCAGGCGGCAGAGCAAGUCGAGUGUGAAAGCCCCGGGCUUAACUUGGGAAUUGCGCUCGAAACUACUUUGCUGGAGUGUGGCAGAGGAAGGUGGAAUUCCACGUGUAGCGGUGAGAUGCGUAGAGAUGUGGAGGAACACCAAUGGCGAAGGCAGCCUUCUGGGCCAACACUGACGCUCAUGCACGAAAGCGUGGGGAGCAAACAGG